AAAAGGGGUGAAAUAAGAAUUCGUUUGCUAUAAGUGUUAUAUUUUUCGUUAUAACUUUUAUAUUCACCCGGUUUUAUACGUCAUAUUCUGUUUAUUUAUUUAAAUCGUACGUCUUUUAAGCUAUCUCAUCGUUUGGUCCAAGUUAUUUUACGUUUACACGCGUUAUUUUUGCUGUUUACACGUGACGUUUUGUCUUGUCAGCCUAAAUAUAACUCCGUUUUAUGUGUUUUCGCGUUUCUUUCGAUGUUUUUACGGAUAAUAGUUGUCAUUUCUAGUCUUUAUUACGUUUUGUGUCAAAGUACAAGCGUGUUCUGAAUGUUUUGAAAAAUUAAAAGUUAUAAAAUUGAUGGAUACGCAUGGUUAACUGUAUGUGAUGAUAGAAAUGGUUUAAUUCGCAGUUUCUAUAAUGCUCUAGCUGCAAUAAAUUGUAUUUAACCACAAAUACUCGAGGUAAAAAUAUUUUUUUAUCCUAGCGCCAUCUUCACUCGAGAGUGAAAACAAAUCCAGCGCCUGGGCUACACCGUCAGUAUUUCUGAACACACCCCGGCUGAAUAUACGAACAAAUUAAAAUUUAAACAGAGAGGGACAACUAUAUAUCGACGUAAGAAUAGGUUUUGUAUGAUGGUAUAUGUAUGGCUUAGGUAAAAGUAUGAAAAUCGGAUGAUGUUUUGCAGUUAAUUGAAAACCGUUCAAUUUUUUUUGCUAACUUAGAUAAUAAUUUUUAUACCAAAAUAUACUCAUCUCCCUCUUACUCCCUCUGACGAGCUAAAUGGAAAAUGUAUUUUCUUUUGACAUUUUUGCACGUCAUUCUAUCAAAGAAGUUUGUCCAACCUAAGUGGUGAAAAUUUAAAUAUUUUUUUUAAAUAAAGAAAAGAAAACCACCACCAUAUAAUAAGUAGUGACUUUUUUUUUUAAAUUCAAAGUGCUUAAAUCGCCAAAUUAAAAGGCAAACAAAAUUGGAAUUCUUUUAUAUAAAAUUGUGGAGACUCUCCGUACUUUAGUCGUUUGACUCUACGACGUUUAAACGUAAAACAGAAAAAUUAAAAUAACAAUUAAGUGGUUGAUUUUCGGCGGUCCAAGAUAUCCAUCUUAGAACUGGACCGCCGCACGUUUUUUUAUUAUAAAAAAAUUUUCUGGUUUCUUUUAUUUGAAUAAUCCUUACUGCCUGAA